GAUGAACGCUGACAGAAUGCUUAACACAUGCAAGUCUACUUGAUUUAUGGUUUCGGCCGUAAUGAUGGUGGCGGACGGGUGAGUAACGCGUAAAGAAUCUGCCCUUUAGUCUGGGAUAACAGUUGGAAACGACUGCUAAUACCGGUUAUUAUGGAAUCAUCGCAUGAUGAAAUCAUGAAAGCUAUAUGCGCUAGAGGAGGACUUUGCGUCCCAUUAGCUAGUUGGUGAGGUAACGGCUCACCACGGCGACGAUGGGUAGCCGGCCGGAGAGGGUGAUCGGCCACAAGGGAACUGAGAAGCGGGCCUUACUCCUACGGGAGGCAGCCGUUGGGAAUAUUGGACAAUGGGCCACAAGCCUGAUCCAGCAAUUCUGUGUGCACGAUGAAGGUCUUCGGAUUGUAAAGUGCUUUCAGUAGGGAAGAAUAAAUGACGGUACCUACAGAAGAAGCGACGGCUAAAUAUGUGCCAGCAGCCGCCGCCG
rnacentral:rRNA from 1 species